UCUGGCCAGGCUGGCAGGUGGGAACCGGCGAUAAGGACUGGGGGCUCUGGGGCCGGCAGCCCCAUGCCCCCUGCCCUCUGCCAGGGCAAGAACAUGGGGUGGGGGAAGGUCAGUGCCAGCGCGACACCUGCAAGGAUCCCAGGGUUCCCACCAUCCUGGUCCUUCCACCAUGGAGAGGGUGCUAGGGAGCCUCCCAAAGAGGCCAAGGCAGGGAGAGGGUGGCCUGCCCCAGGAACCUGGCAGGACAGCGACGGCCCAACUGCCACGGGCUCCUGCUGGGAAGCCUCACAGCCCCCUCCCACCCCUCAGAAGCAUCUGGUCCUUCUGGAGCGCAGGGUGGUUACCCUGUACCAUCAUCUCACCUGAAGCUGGCCGCCAUCGAGGAGUACCUUCCGUCUGUUCCUACCAGGAUUCCAUCUGCCUUGUUUCCAACGGUCAUGAUUGUGUUCAUGGGCUCCCUAUGGAUGGGGCUCAUCAGUAGGGCUCCCUAGGUCCCUACCCUCUUUGUUCUCCCUCCUCCCCCUUGCCUAAUCAGGCCUUUCUAGGCUCUGGUUCUCACGAGUCCAAGAGCAGUGGCUGGCCCUGGGCAGAAGCCCUUCUCUCCAGUAAGGGCCCUGCCAGUGGCCUGAUUCUGGCCCCACUCCAUGGGCCUUCCCACCCUUCUCCCUGCUCCAAGGUGGGGGCCUCAGGUCCCAGUCCAAGAUUUGCAAAAGAUGUAUCUAAGGCCUCACACUUUGUGCAAUUUUCCUUCUGGCCUCAGCUCAAGACCCAACAGGAUUUAGUGUCUGCCCAGAUUUCCACAGGGCUUUCCCCAGGGAAUUAGGUACAGACAUGGUCAACUUCCACUGAAGGCAGAGCUUGGAUCAUUUGAAAAAAAAUAACAUUGCUGACAAAAAGUUCCUGGCCUCUUAUUCCAGUUUAAACCCAGUGACUGUGGCCUCUGCUCCUGCCUACCUGAAACUAUUCUUACAUGGGUCACGGGGACUCUUACUGCUGCUUGUCCUUCCUUGGACACCCCACAGGCACCUCAAACUUAGUAUGUCUCAAAUUAAACUCAGCAGCUGCCC